UACGGGGGGAGCAAGCUUUGUUCGGAUUUACUGGGCGUAAAGGGCGCGUAGGCGGCGUGACUAGUCACUUGUGAAAUCUCCGGGCUUAACUCGGAACGGUCAAGUGAUACUGUCGUGCUAGAGUACAGAAGGGGCAACUGGAAUUCUCGGUGUAGCGGUGAAAUGCGUAGAUAUCGAGAGGAACACCUGCGGCGAAGGCGGGUUGCUGGGCUGAUACUGACGCUGAGGAGCGAAAGUGUGGGGAGCGAACAGG
rnacentral:rRNA from 1 species